AGGUAAGGGAUGAAUCUGAAAAAUGUGUUUGAGAAACAGGUGGUUUCACAGACCAACGGUACUUUGAAAAGGUAAGAAGUAGAGAAAGUGACAGAUCUUAUUUUCCUGGGUUCGAAGAUGUCUGCAGAUGAUUAUUUCAGUCAUGAAAUUAAAAUGAUCUUGUUUCUUUGAAGGAAAACUAUGGCAAAUUCAGUGAAACCAAUUAAAAAAUCAAAUAAUGGGCUGAUGGCUGUUCCCAGGAUUUGCAGAGAAAAUUCAGCUAUACAAUUCCUUACUUAUGCGAGAUCAGCCUAUAGGAUCAACCAACUUCCCUGAUACAGCUGUGUGAUACUGAUGUAUUGUUCUGAAUAACCCCCUAAUGUAUCAUC